rnacentral:sRNA from 1 species
AUUUUCCCGCCAGGAAAGUGUAUUAACUGCGGAAAAAUUGACACUUUCAAAGCCCUUGAAGAAGUUAUCCGGCAAAGAUUCUCGAUGGUUAUUAACAACGUGUUUGUUGAGAUGUCAUACUGGGCUGAUGACGUUUUGGUGAGGCUCAAUGGUCAGGAAACACCUCCGACGGAAAUCAAAGAUGAUUGGUCUUUCAGAAUGUUCAAAUCUCUUCUAAGGUCUGACAGUUCUGUGAAUCUUUUUGUCACCUUUAAAAGAAUGGUAGACGAUAAGCUUGAGUUCCUAGAUCCCCUUGAAAUUGCUGUUCCGCCUUACAACAGAGGCUUCCCACUGAUACAAGGUGAUAACACUGUGAAGGAGUUGCAACCCUUUAUUGUUGGUGUUCCAGAUAAAACGACCGUACACCAUGAAAAUGAGUUUGACGUACACCAGCAACUUGAACAUUCUCUUCGAAAACCAAAUCCAGUUUCAGACAACAGUAGUCCAGCUGGAGAUGUCCGAGACCUGGUCAUUUGGGAUGGUACUGUUGAUAACUCACUAAUAGCUCACAUUGAAGAAAUUGAAGCUCAGUUAAAAGAUGUAAAUCCACAAGAAGACGUUGUUGAUGAGGAUAUCGAAAGCAAUGAUGAUUCUAAUGAGUUCAGUGAAGAAGACGAUGAGCCAGACUAUCAAUCUGGAUCAAAAGAGGAUGAAGAUGAUGACGUCUGGUCUGAGACAGUUUUAGACAAGAAUGUGGCGUUGAACAAUGAUGAUUUCACAGAUCCCCCUCUAA